UACAGAGGGUGCGAGCGUUAAUCGGAAUUACUGGGCGUAAAGCGCACGUAGGUGGCGACGUAUGUCGGGUGUGAAAGCCCCGGGCUCAACCUGGGAAUGGCCGUUGAAACUGGCGAACUGGAGUGUGGCAGAGGGGGGUGGAAUUCCGCGUGUAGCAGUGAAAUGCGUAGAGAUGCGGAGGAACACCGAUGGCGAAGGCAGCCCCCUGGGCUGACACUGACGCUCAGGCACGAAAGCGUGGGGAGCAAACAGG
rnacentral:rRNA from 1 species